UCGGUGGCGCAGGGGAGAGAGGGUUGACAAUUGAAGGAAACUUCAUCAAGUUCACUGCCAUAGGUGUUUAUUUGGAAGAUAUAGCAGUGGCUUCACUAGCUGCCAAAUGGAAGGGUAAAACCUCUCAAGAGUUACUAGAUACCCUUGACUUUUACAGAGACAUCAUCUCAGGUAUGUUAUACAUCAGCUUCGAUUAUUCUGAACUAACUUAUUAAUCACUUAAGUUGCUAUAUAGUGUAUGUAUGUAUGUAUGUAUGUAUAUAGUUAAUUGCAAGUUGAUUGAUUGAUAAAUUGAUAAUGUUUUAGGUCCCUUUGAAAAGUUAAUUAGAGGGUCAAAGAUUAGGGAAUUGAGUGGUCCUGAGUACUCAAGGAAGGUUAUGGAGAACUGUGUGGCACACUUGAAAUCAGUUGGAACUUAUGGAGAUGCAGAAGCUGAAGCUAUGCAAAAAUUUGCUGAAGCUUUCAAGCCUAUUAAUUUUCCACCUGGUGCCUCUGUUUUCUACAGGCAAUCACCUGAUGGAAUAUUAGGGGUUAGUUAUAAUGCCAAUUAAUUCUGUUUCUUAACUAUUUUAAUUGAGGUUUACUGUUAAUUAAUUAAGAAAAUUAAGCCUUCCACUAAUACUAGUAUAUUAAAAACAUAUGUUGCAGCUUAGUUUCUCUCCUGAUACAAGUAUACCUGAAAAGGAGGCUGCACUUAUUGAGAACAAGGCAGUUUCAUCAGCAGUGUUGGAGACUAUGAUCGGCGAGCACGCUGUUUCCCCUGAUCUUAAGCGCUGUUUGGCUGCAAGAUUACCGGCGUUGUUGAACGAGGGUGCUUUCAAGAUUGGAAACUGAUCGAUCAUUAUACUCACUCCUAUAUCACUACAUUUCCAAAAGCUUGCAGCACAAGAAUGAGACCAUGUCACUUUUUUUAAGUCUAAACGUUUAAUUUUUUGUAUAUCUAUUUACCUUCUUAUUAGUAUCAAUAAUAUGAAAUGAAAGAUCUUCAUCAAUAAAAGUGAUUUGUUUUGUUUGUUCAAAUCAGAGUGAUAAAAUGUUGAUUUCAAUUCAUUCGAGUUGUUUAUUUCAUUUUCUUUGGAAACAGAGUAGGUUGUUAAAAUCAAUUUUGAAUUUCUUCCUUGAUCCUUUCUUCUUGUACUCUGUCUUUACAAACAAUGCUUCAUCGUUUCCUUAUUCCUUUGCCUCAAAUUUAUUUUUCAGCUCCUUUGAAAUAGUAACUUAGUGAACAUUAUUAAGCAAUAGGGGAUGUAGGUGAACUAAGGGGCGUUGAAGGAGAUUUAAGCCGGAGGUCUCAGAUUCGAUUCUCAGAAACUAACAUUUCUCCCUCCCACUUUAACAAUUUGCUAACAACUAACAUUUGCCUAUAAAAAUAAAAUAAAAUCAAGAGAUAAGGAUUCCUUGCCAUAAACCAAUGUGUCAAAAAGAUUUUCUUAAGAACUUGGUAAAGAAUGAACUUGUAAAAGAGCUUGAUCUUAAUCUUCCAUACUCACAUCAAUGUUCUCAAGAUAAAAAAUGCUCUUGUUGAACUCAUCAAUCAAUGUGUUCUUCAACUGUUUUUCCUACUUGCAUAUUGAAAGUGUAGAAUCUUUGCUUCAAAUAAAUUUUGUUGGCGAAAGAUUUCACGUAAUGAUUUUUCAAUUUAAGCAAAAUUGUUGUAACAAGUUUUUCUUUUGAAACUUACCUCAUUGGCUUGUCACCCGAACUCAAAAUUAGAGCAUGAUGAGCUUUCUCCAUGAUUUCUUUUUUAUUCAAAUAAGAAAAUGUAGUUGGUAAAUUCUUUUCUCCAAGUAAAACACCUGCUAAACCUUUAUGAACUAUAUGAGUUUCGUCUUGAGUCGCCAUAGACGAAAAUCAUUCUUGCCAUUGAACUUCUCUAGAUUGAACUUAGUUGUUGUCAUUUCCCCAAGAAGUAGGGGUGUUCGCGGUCCAUAUAUUGAACUGAACCAGAUUAAUAGAUUGGUUUAGUUUUUAAAAACAACUUUAAUAAAAAUUGGUUAGUUUCUCAAACUAGUUGCAGUUCAGUUCUGAACCAGUUUAAAACCGGUUUAUAGUUUUAAAUCGGUUUAGUUUAUUUGAACCAGUUUUAAACCGGUUCUGCUAUUAAAACUAUAUUAUUAGUGAAUGUUGAGUUCCUUGAAUUCCCAGCGACGGUGACACCUCCGGAUUCCACCAAGACCUAUUUCCUUGGUGGCGCAGGUUCUUAAAACAACAGACAUUAUUGCUUUCCUUGUUUGUGUUUUCAUUAUGGAGUAUUUUUGUUUUUCUUCAUAAACAAUUAAUUAAUUAAUAAGUUUUUCAUUCAUUCAAAAUUAAUUAUUACUACUAAUAAGUUUCCAUGCAUUGAGUUGUAUGUUUAGAAUAAUAUGAUUGACUGUUUUCGUUAUAUAGAUCUAAUCUAAAAAUAUCAAUACCUUUAUAAUGUUUUUCUUUACAAGCCUUAUUAAUAUAUUAUUAAGGAUAAUGUUAAGUAUUCACGUAUAAUAAAACUAGCAUUAAAAAAAAAAAUGUUAUUUUCAAUAUGAUUAUUUAUUUUUGUUUCUUUAUAAAUGAUCUAAAGACAAUGAUUAAGAUGUCCAUGUUAUUGAUAAUGAGGAGUCAUAUCCAGAAUGAACUAGUUCCAAACUAAAUAAAAAAAUUAUUAAUUUCUUGAUUCCAAUACUCCCUAUAAAAUAGGGGUGUUCAUUGGUUAAGACAACAUAUUCACCCAAAACUAAACUGACUCGCGAGCACUCUAUUGAUCAUAGAAGGCGUUUUAGCCUAAUAAAUGGGCGGUCUAGCUACUGUUUCUACUCACAUCACAUGGACUUCCUUUUCUAAAACAAAUUUUCGAAGCGUUGAGGAUAAAAAAAGAAGCAAAGUUAUAAAGUGAUAAUGAAGUCAAAAAAGGGAUUCAUAUAAAUUUAUCAUCUUGUUUUUUUAUAGUAGAUCGAAGUUUCUUUUACUUAAUUAAUUAAACAAUCUAAAUUUAAAUACUAUAUAGACUUGUAGUUUGUCCUAUUAUUUGGAGCACAACUAGUAGAUGUAUGACAGAUAAGAGUCUUGGGUCUAACAUUUUUUUAUGUAAACAGACUCGAGCAAUCCAAAGGGAUUCUUUGACUAAAAAGUGAUGACUAUCUAUUGCUAAGUGAUUUACACGCUGAGUUAUGAUUUUUUUUAUGGUAUAUGUCAAUUAUACAUGUGUUCUUGACUUCUUGAUGGAGUAUUUGUGAAGGCCACGGGAAUGCAGUGACAGCACUUGCCUCAAAGUGGAAGGGUAGGACUGCAGCUGAGUUGUUGGAGUCCCUUGACUUCUACAGAGACAUCAUCAAAGGUAGGUAGUUGUAGCUCACACCUAGUCAAUCCUUUGAAUUUUCUUCAAGGAUAACGUGAAUGUCAUUUUCUAUAUUCUUGUUUUAUGAGGCACUCAUUUUCUAACCUUAGAAUAUGAAUUGUUAUCUUUAUUAUAAUAUAUGGUUUAAUAGCAGUUUUAACCCCUCAAGUUUUAAGAAGUUGCGAUUUUAGCUCCUUAAGAAAAAUAACAACAAAACCGUCCCCUAAGUUUUGAUUUUCGCCCCCUAUGCCAAUUUUGACUCGGUCAACGCCCCUAAGUUUUGACUCUGUGACAGUUUUGGUCCCCUAGGAGUUUAUUUCUAUAUACUAGUUUAUUAUUUGUGAGUGAAAACAUAUGAAUUUAUCAUUAAAAAGGAGUUUUAUUUCUAUAUACUAGUGUAAUUUUAUUUUACACAUACAUCCAAUCCAAUGUUAUAUUACCACAUCAUUUAAUGAAUAUGAUAAUUCAUAUGUUUUCACUCACAUGAUGUCUACCCGAAAAAAAACUCAUAACAUGAUGUGACAAUACAACAUUAAAUUUAUUUGUAAAAUAAUUUUAUGUUGAUAGUGCAUAUAAAUUAAAUUCUUUAAAAAAAUAGUGGAGUUAACCCGAUUUUUACCAAACAUAAAAUCUGAUAAUAUUUCGGUCUUAAUUUUAAUAUAUAAGAAAAAUGUCAAAUUAAAUUGAGAGUUAAAUAAAAUCUAAUCAAUAAUUAUUUUGAUCAUGAUUUAAACAUGUGGUUUUCUGAAUAAUCCAUCUUUAACCAAAGCUUAACCGAAACUCGUUAACCACUUGAUUAUUAUAUUUGUUUGUGAUCAUAAAAAGUUACGAUCAACUUUGUAUUGAAUGAUUGAAUAAUGAAAUAUGACUCCUAUUAUAUUAUAGGUCCCUUUGAGAAAUUGAUUCGAGGGGGAAAGUUAAAAACUUUGGACGGUCGUGAAUAUGUGAGGAAGGUGUCAGAAAAUUGUAUUGCUUAUAUGAAAUCUGAUGGAACAUAAUUUAGAGAAGCCUUCAAGGAUCAAAAUUUUCCAACUGGCGCUAGUGUUUUCUACAAACAAUCACCAACUGGAACAUUAGGGGUUAGUAUAAUUUACAUGAGCACAUAAAAUUUAAAAGUCUAAUAUCUCAACAAUAUGUGCACUAAUUUGAUUUUUAUUCUAUAAACAAAUUAAUCACAGCUUCGUUUCUCCAAAGAAGAGACUAUGAUUGGAGAAAUUUCUGUUUCCCCUGCUUUGAAAGAGAGUUUGGCUACAAGAUUUUAUGAUCUUAUGAAGAUUAACAAUUUCAACAUGGGAAAUUAACUGAUGAGUGAAAGCUGUGUUCAAGGGUGGUGCCAAAGAAAAAAUGAUAUAAAAUGUAAUAAACAUAUGUUUGUCAUUAAUAAUGUUCUAUACUCUCUCUCUCUCUCUCUCUCAUAUUAUUGUUUUACUAUAAGCCAAGAUAUAAGGUGAGGACGGCUGACAAUGCCAACUCAUUUUUGUCCUGUGUAAUAUUAAUUAAUAUAAGAUGUUUCUUUAUUGAAUCCUGAUUGGUUAAUGUUUUUAUUUAAAGUUGAACAAUAUUAUGAUUAAAAAAAAACCAGAAGUUCAAAAUCAUUUGGUUGGUACUUACUUCUAUCAUUUUAGUGUAUUGUCCUUAACGUGCACCUCAAGUUGUUGAGCUAGUGUGUAUCCAAAUGAGAUUUAAAAUUCAAAUUUUGACUACUAUCUAACAUUACAUACUAGCAAGUAUAAUCCGUCAAAAAAAGAGGUAGCAACUAAUAUAAGAAUAAUUUUUAGGUGGAAACAAAGAUUUCAAAGACAUUAUUUGAUCACACAAUCAACAAAAUUUUGACAGCACCAGUUGUUACUAUUGAGGUCAAACAAAAAUAGAUUCCCUCCUUUUACAGGCAUGCAAAGAAAACUGAAUUUGUUGAAAGGUUCAAUUCAAACUGUGACGGGUGCAGUCUGUGUUGUUUGGUGGGUAGCUGAAGGAAUUGGAAAUAGGGUUUUGCAUCUUAAAUCAUACUCUCAAUAGGUAGGUGUGUUUAAUGCAAAUUGAUUCAAAAUAUUGAAAAUCCCACACAACUAAUUUAGUUCUUGCAUUUUAACCCACUUAUCAAAUUAGUUGAUAAUAUUGAAUAAUCAAAAACAAUAAAAUUUCAAAAAAUCCUCCUAAUAAAACUUCAGUUUCAACUUCAUAAAUUAUUCAUUUUUGUAAUCUAAUUGGUGAAAUAUAAAUAAUUAAUACACUUAGAUGAUUCUACAUCAUCAUCAAGUUGUAUGUCAUAUACAAUUAGGUGACAUUAACGUGGUUUUCAAAACUAAACGACAAGAAUAAAAAUUAAAGAUUGUAUAUUUGUAAGGGUUGGUGUUUUUUUACGUAUGCUAGACCAAACAUAUCUUUUAACAUCCUUUUAAAAAAAAAAAAUCUUUUAACAUGUUUAAUAUUAUUAUUAGAGAAGGCCCAUGAAUUCGAUUUUUAUUGUUUUGGGUGUAAAAAAAAGUAUGGAUAAUGUUAUUUGGUGAGAGAUACAUACAACAAAGUAUGUAGUAGAUCCUACUAUUAAGUGGAUCUCACCGCUAUUAAUUAUUUUUAAACUUAUUUGUAUCUUUAUCUCUUCAAUAGAACAAAUGGAGAGACCAAUAAAUAAAUAUAAUCCUUCUUUCUUUCUUUCAAAAAUAGAGAAAAUUCGAAGGGUAAUGUUUAAUCUCUCAUCAUUCAAUAUGAGAAAAAACAUAUUAAAAAAUAUUGACUCCAAUUUUUUCGUCCAUAUCCUCUAGUGGAAGGUUCAUAUCACAUUACACAAGUAGUAUUUUUUUUUUGAAAGGACAUAAUAUUUUAUAGGUUUUUUUUAGAUUACCUUUGAAAAAUGGUGGGUAAUUUACCCACCAACCAAUCAUAAUGAACAAUUUAUUGGUGGGGUCAAGAUAAUUUAUGAAUACCACCUAAAAAGGUGAAAUGUUCAUUGAUUGGAGUAAAUUACCCACCAAUCUUCCAUGGGUACCCUAGUUGUCACCAAAUAUUAUCUUAUCUAUACGCUUAUGCAUUAUUGAUUUCAUUGAAUAUAUUUAUUGUCAUAUGUCUCACAUUAUCAAAAAAGUUACAUAUUUAAUCAGGCAUAUGUUUCUCACCCCCUAAAUAUACAUGAUUGAAAUUGAAAUGCCUCACAUAUAAGCACUUCUCACUCAGGGUCAAAUCUUAUUUAUAGUGAUAAAAAAACACUGAUAGAUCAAACAGAAAGUUGUAUAGGUAUGGCGACAGCAGCACCCACAAUCACCGGAGUGAAGGUGGAGAAUAUUGAAUUUCCGGCAGUGGUGACACCUCCUGCCUCCCCCAAGUCCUAUUUCCUCGGUGGUGCAGGUAUUUCUUAUUUUAUAGUGAUAAUAACAACUGAAUAUAAUUCCUUAUGUUGUUUUCACUACUAGAACUAGAAGGUUCAAACAUCUAUCACUUAUGUCACAUUAUAUUGUUUUUUAUCGCAAUUUUGCUGCUGAAAAUGAAAAUCAAGGAGAAUAAAUUGGUUUCAAAUUUUAAAUUUAUGAGAUUCACUUAGUUUUAUCUCUGUGAUCGAAGCAUUUUGAAUUUUUUUUAUUGGUAAUGGGAUGUAGGGGUGAGGGGGUUAGAUAUUGAUGGAGAAUUUGUGAAGUUCACUGGAAUAGGAAUUUAUUUGGAAGAAAAAGCUGUAGCAUCACUCACUCCUAAGUGGAAAGGCAAAACUCCAUCUCAGCUCUUUGAAUCCCUUGAAUUCUAUCGAGAUAUCAUCAAAGGUAGCAACAUACUACUCCAUAAUGAUCAUAUGCCCCUAAUCAUCUGUUUUUCUUUGUUCCAAAAUAUAACUAAUCAUGUUUUUCUAUUUUUUUUAACAGCAAAAACAUGUUUUUCUAUUUGUACUUCCAGAAACUAUACUUCUAUUAGUACUUGCACAUACUAUUGAAUGGAGUAGUUUUUUUAGCAAUGAAUUAUAGUUAGUAGCAUGUGUGUAAAUGUAUAUACUCACUUAUUUAUGGGUGUUUUUAGGUCCCUUUGAGAAAUUUAUUCGAAGUACAAAGGUGAGAACACUAGAAGGUAGUGAAUAUGUGAGAAAGGUGUCAGAAAAUUGCAUUGCCCAUAUGAAAUCUGAAGGAACAUAUGGCGAUGCAGAAGAAAAAGCCAUUCAAGAAUUUAGAGAAGCUUUUAAGGAUCAAUUUUUUCCACCAGGAACUGCUGCUUUCUACAGACAAUCACCAAAUGGAGCAUUAGGGGUUAGUGUCAUUAAUAUUACCUAUUGCAUGUAUCUAAAUAUCCAUUUUAAUCAACACAUUUUGAUAUUUCUUUUUCUACAAAUUAAUCACACAGCUUAGAUUCUCCAAAGAUGAGACAAUACCUGAACAUGAGUAUGCUGUUAUAAACAACAAGCCGCUUUCGGAAGCAGUGUUGGAGACCAUGAUUGGAGAAAUCCCUGUUUCCCCUGCUUUGAAAGAGAGUUUGGCUACAAGAUUUUAUGAGUUUCUGAAGAUUGACAACUUCAACAUUCGAAACUGAUAUUUGAAAAAUGAAAACUGUUAUCUAUAAUCUUAAAGGCGAGGGGCAUGAUCUUUCAAUGCAUUAUGAUGCAAUAAACGAAUAAUCCAAGUGACAUAUCUAUAAGUCACAUGAUAAUGUUACUUUAUUUUUGAAUUUGCUAUCACAAGUCACAACAGUUUGUGGACUUGGUACGUCAUUAUUUGAAAUGAAUGGCUUAGUUACCUGGUUGUUUUUUAAUCUGUUUGUGCAUCAUUUAUGAAAAAAAGUUAUUAUUAUUUAUUUUAUUUUAUUUAGCAGAAAUUAAAAUUAAGGAUAUCAUAUGCAAAAUGCAAUGAGCAAUCAUAAAAUUAAGAAGACUAAAAGGAAGGAAGAGAUCACAUUCAACAUAUUAUGCUCAUUGUGGCUGCCCAUUCUGUGAUGUGAUAUAUAUUCUCUCAUUUUAAGAUAUAAGCUUGAAACUUAAUUUAUGUUUUACUUUUUCCUUCUUUUGUUUAUUGUCUUGUCACUUUGUAGUUCUACCAAAAAGAAAAACUUUACGAAGACUAAAAGUAAACGACAACAGAUGUUUUUUUUUUACUUACACUAAAAUUAAAAAAAUGGUAAACUAAGUAAGUAAUUAAGCUCAAGUGAUUUACAAGUUUUAUCAAUGACAAAUUGUUCGAAAGAAUUCAAAUUUGAUUCAUAGGUAAAACAAUUUUUGGUCAGAUUAUUAUUACUUUACGGCCGAAUUCCAAAUUAUCAGUGCUCAUUUCUCCUGGGAAUUUCAGAAUUAACCAAAAAAAAAAAAAAAACACUAAAAAGUGGUAACAUGUUAUUGUAACAUGUAUAAUAUUAGAGAGAUGAGCCAUAAAUUCUACUUUCAUUGUUUUGAGCAGCCCCAAAAUGUUGACUCCAGCUGGAUCACCAGUUUUAUUAAGGUAAUGUGGGCCACUAAUGCACGAGUCAAUCAAAUUUGUACAACUCAUUUAUUUUGUCUAAAAUACCAACGAUUAAGGUGUUCGUUUGAACUAAUUUUGAUAUAAAAAUUUAUCACAUUUAAAGAUAAAUUUCUUUUUAGUUUGAUUUAAUUUUAUAUGAUUAAUUUGAAAAAUCCGAUCAAAUUUAUUGCAGUUUAGUUUGGAUUGGUAUUUGAAUAUCGAAAUUACUAAAUUGUAAUUUUUAUUAAUUUUAAAAUUAUAAAGACACCACAAAUUAAUAGGUUUGAUGAAACUAAUAUACUAAACAUUAAUAUAUAUUAGUAUAAAAUAACAAUGAUUGAUUGUGUAUGAAAUUAUAACUCAAAUAAAUAAUUCAUAUAGAGUUGCGUCUUAAAAUAUUGACUCCAAUUUCUUCAAGUCAUAGAGAGAUGAUAAUUCCCUUUAUUAUAUUAUUUUUAAGGGAAUCUCAUACUAUUUUUUUUUUGUCAAUUUCCUUUAUUAUUUUUAUGGGAAUCUAAUACUAUUAUUUUUUUUGUCAAGUAGUCUUAGAGUUCGCACAUUUUAAAUAUGGAGAAGUGAGGUGUUUGAGAUUUGCAUCCCGGUCCAAACAUGAUCUAUGCAAUAUCUCUACCAACUAAGUUAAGCUUGCGGAAACCUUAUCCUAUUUUAUAUUAUCUGAUAUAUAUACGCUUACGCAUUAUUGAUUUCAUUGAAUAUAUUUACUAUCACAUGGCUCACAUUAAAAGGUUUUUACAAGUUUUUUUUUUUUUAUCAAAAAGGUUACAUAUUUAAUCAUACAUAUGUUUGUCACCCGCUAAACAUACAUGAUUGAAAUUGAAAUGCCUUUUAUAUAAACAUCUCCACUCUGUGUCAAAUCUCAAAGCUAAAAAUAAAACAGACACUUGAAAAAAGCACUGGAAGAUCAAAUUGACGCAAAGUGGGAUAGCAAUAAGCUAUGGCAAAGGCAGCAUUCAUGAUCACCGGAGUGAAGGUGGAGUUCAUUGAAUUUCCGGUAGUGGUGACACCUCCGUCGUCCACCAAGUCCUAUUUUCUCGGUGGUGCAGGUAUUUCUUUAAUAAUAAAUAAUAGUUGGAUCUACUUUCUUAUGUCGUUUUCACUGCUAGGAAAAUUAAAUUUAGAAAGAUUAGUAUUUAGUCACUAACGCUCAUAAAUUCUGUUACAAAAUACUUCAGUAACGAAAAAUCCGUAGUCAUUUUUGGCCUCACAACGGGUUAUGGAAUAAAUUCGUCACUAAUUAUGGCCAUCCGUCAUUAAAUGGUGAGCAGAAAAUUACAUCAUAAUUCAUACAUAACUAAUAUUUCCAUCACUGAUUACUUCAUGAAAAAGACUCUUCUCUAUAAAUUGUUCAAGUUUUUUUUUUUUAACAAUUCGUUAUUUAAUAGAGCUCGUGAUUAACUACUUAAAGUCAAUUGCUUGGUUACAAUACAAUUUAUUUAAGAGAAAUUCUAACAAGCACUCUUAAAAGUUUAGUACAAACUUUCUCUUUAAAAUUGUGUAUUUAAAAUAUUAAAACAUUAAAAACAACUUUUUAAACAUAAAAUUUAUCAACUAUUUACUUUUUUAAAUCUUUAACAAAUGUCAUAAGGGGUAUGUCAGGAAAAGCAUUAGCUUAAAAAGAAAGAUCAAUAAAAACGCUAGUUUAAAAUUCCCCAACUCCCUCUAACUAGUAGAUGAUCACUUUGUUGUUUAAGAUAUAACAUGUACAUCCAAACUAUUGAAAGUAAAAUUUAUUAGGUCUUCUUCCUUUGAAGAACUCAUAUGGUGUUUAGUUCAAUCACUUGCUACUAUGUGUUAGUCCAAACUCAUGAAAGUAAGAUUUAUCAGGUCUUCUUGGUAUAUAUGUAGGGGUGAGAGGGUUAGAUGUUGAUGGAGAGUUUGUGAAGUUCACUGGAUUAGGAGUUUACUUGGAAGAAAAGGCUGUAGCAUCACUCACUCUUAAGUGGAAGGGCAAGACUCCGUCUCAGCUCUUCGAAUCCCUUGAUUUCUACAGAGAUAUCAUCAAAGGUACGUAGCAACAUAUACUACUCUAUAAUGAUAAUAUACCUCUAAUAAUUUGUUUUUUUUUGUUCCAAAACAUUAUUGAUUUAGGAAACCAAAAUAUAAUUAAACAUGCUUUUCUAUUUAUACUUGCAAAAACUAAAAAUAUGUAUUGAAUGAAUUUGGCUUUUAUAAAAUAAAUUAUACUUCUACUUGUAUUUGCACAUAGCCACAUACUAUUCACUAGUAUAGAAAAGGAUUUUUACAUCGAGUGAAAAAGACUUUUCAUAUUGGAUAUCACCCGAUGUGAAGUAAGGUUUUUUAUGUUAGGUCCGCACCUUUUUACAUCAGAUAUGUAUUUAUACAUGGUGAAAAGUACUUUUACACAUCGGGUAUUUAUUAUCUUUCAUCAACUUUUGUAUAUGUUAAUAGAGCCAUGCUAUACGCAGCGAUAAUAUUUAUCAAGAAUGAAAAUAAGCCAAUCAAAAGCAGGCUUUGAGCGGAAAUCAGGGAGGUGCAUGCUAUUCAAACUGGAACCUUUUUAGACUCAUCCUCACCUUUUGUCUUAGAGUCUGUUCAUGACCCACCCUUUGAACCAAAUCAAUCUGCUGCUACUGAAAUCAUAAGCACAGAUUUACCUAGCUCUUCAACACAAAUCAUUCCUCAACCUUUAACUACAAAGAGAAAAAUAUGGAAAAUCCUAAAAUAGUGGAUGAGUAGCAUACAUGCCACAUGUAUCGUGAAACACUCGGGAAGCUUAUUUUCGCUUUAAAUAGCAUUUUUGAUGUUUAUAAUAAAUACUCAUUUGAGCAAUGUUAUAUAUCAAGAAAGAAUUUAUCAAGAAAGAGUUCCGAAAUUAAUGUUAACCAAUAAAAUCUCAGCCUGGCCAGAAAUCAUGGGUGGUAGGUGUUAUGUAUUUAUUUUUUAUUUUUUAUGAAACGUUAAUAAUUAAGACUGAAAUCUAAGGGUGAUUAUUCUGCUAUGUCAUUCUUGAAUCCAUCGCACUCAUUUAUUUAUGGGUGUGUUUAGGUCCCUUUGAGAAGUUUAUUCGAUGUACAAAGGUGAGAACACUAGAAGGUAGUGAAUAUGUGAGAAAGGUGUCAGAAAAUUGCAUUGCCCAUAUGAAAUUUGAAGGAACAUAUGGCGAUGCAGAAGAAAAAGCCAUUCAAGAACUUAGAGAAGCCUUCAAGGUUCAAUUUUUUCCACCAGGGGCUGGUGUUUUCUUCAGACAAUCACCAAAUGGAGCAUUAGGGGUUAGUAUCAUUAAUAUAACAAACUGCAUUGAUUUGAAUAUCCAUUUUAAUCAACACAUUUUGAUAUUUCAUUUUCUGCAAAUUAAUCACAGCUUAGAUUCUCCAAAGAUGAAACAAUACCGGAACAUGAGUAUGUUGUUAUAAACAACAAGCCACUUUCAGAGGCAGUGUUGGAGACCAUGAUUGGAGAAAUUCCUGUUUCCCCUGCUUUGAAAGAGAGUUUGGCUACAAGAUUUUAUGAGUUUAUGAAGAUUGACAACUUCAACAUUUGAAACUUAUAAUUAUAAGCAGUCGUCUUUGAUCUUGAAGGCGAGGUGAUCUUUGAUGCAAGAUAUAAUGGACACAUAGUCC
rnacentral:lncRNA from 1 species